rnacentral:rRNA from 1 species
CACGUAGGGUGCGAGCGUUGUCCGGAAUUAUUGGGCGUAAAGAGCUCGUAGGCGGUGUGUCGCGUCGGCCGUGAAAACCUGCAGCUUAACUGUGGGCUUGCGGUCGAUACGGGCAUCACUGGAGUUCGGCAGGGGAGACUGGAAUUCCUGGUGUAGCGGUGAAAUGCGCAGAUAUCAGGAGGAACACCGGUGGCGAAGGCGGCAUCCUGGACCGGCAUUGACGCUGAGGAGCGAAAGCCAGGGGAGCAAACAGG